AGCACCUGUGUUUUUGUUGUACUGGUGGACAAAGAUAUAAAAGACAGGUGAAAACAAAACCCCUUUUGCAACCUAGAAUUCAUGGUUCAUUUUGAGUUUUGAUACAUAUAAGACAUGAUACU